rnacentral:rRNA from 1 species
GACGAACGCUGGCGGCGUGCCUAAUACAUGCAAGUUGAGCGCUGAAGGUUGGUACUUGUACCAACUGGAUGAGCAGCGAACGGGUGAGUAACGCGUGGGGAAUCUGCCUUUGAGCGGGGGACAACAUUUGGAAACGAAUGCUAAUACCGCAUAAAAACUUUAAACACAAGUUUUAAGUUUGAAAGAUGCAAUUGCAUCACUCAAAGAUGAUCCCGCGUUGUAUUAGCUAGUUGGUGAGGUAAAGGCUCACCAAGGCGAUGAUACAUAGCCGACCUGAGAGGGUGAUCGGCCACAUUGGGACUGAGACACGGCCCAAACGCCUACGGGAGGCAGCAGUAGGGCAUCUUCGGCAAUGGACGAGAGUCUGACCGAGCAACGCCGCGUGAGUGAAGAAGGUUUUCGGAUCGUAAAACUCUGUUGGUAGAGAAGAACGUUGGUGAGAGUGGAAAGCUCAUCAAGUGACGGUAACUACCCAGAAAGGGACGGCUAACUACGUG